rnacentral:rRNA from 1 species
UGGGGAAUAUUGGGCAAUGGGCGCAAGCCUGACCCAGCAACGCCGCGUGAAGGAAGAAGGCUUUCGGGUUGUAAACUUCUUUUAAGGGGAAGAGCAGAAGACGGUACCCCUUGAAUAAGCCACGGCUAACUACGUGCCAGCAGCCGCGGUAAUACGUAGGUGGCAAGCGUUGUCCGGAUUUACUGGGUGUAAAGGGCGUGCAGCCGGAGAGGCAAGUCAGAUGUGAAAUCCGCGGGCUCAACCCGCGAACUGCAUUUGAAACUGCUUCCCUUGAGUAUCGGAGAGGUAACCGGAAUUCCUAGUGUAGCGGUGAAAUGCGUAGAUAUUGCGCAGAACUCCGAUUGCGAAGGCAGCGUACUGGCGCCUGACUGACGCUGAGGCACGAAAGCGUGGGGAUCGAACAGGAUUAGAUACC